rnacentral:lncRNA from 10 species
CUUCUGAGCCUCUGGUAACCAUCCUUCUAUUUUCUAUCUGCAUGACUUCAAUUGUUUCAAUUUUUAGAUCCCAGAAAUAAAUGAGAACAUGUGAUGUUUGUCUUUCUGUGUCAAGGCCUAAAUUUAUAAUCACUCAUGUAAUUUUAAAAAUCCAAGAGUACUUCUUGGCUUUGGCUAUAGUUUGAGGCAGGGGAUGAAAUGAUGUCACAAGAACCGUGUUUUUUUCCCUGGGUUUAAGAGCACUGCUUCUUCUGGGUUGGUUCCAUUCUCAGACAGGCUUUCUCCCAUCAUGGCAAGGAGGUUGCACUCAUUAGCCUCACAACCCUAGAUCCAACCACAAGAGAUUCUUUUUUUUUUUUUUUUAACAGUUUUCAUAAAAGACCUGAGAUUCACUAAGAAUCACUAAGAGGAUGUGCAUUUCACCUUCUCCUCCUGUGUCUUGCUAGAAUGUGGAUAUGAUGGCUGAUGUGUAAGCAGCAAUUUUAAGUAACAGGAUAAAAAGCUAGAGGAAUUAGAAGCAUGAGAAGGAUUUCACCUGCUGUUGCUGGCUUGAAGAUGGAGAAGACCACAGGAUAAGAGAUGUCAGUGGCCUCUAGAAGCUAACAGUGUCCCCUAACUCGCAGCCAGCAAGAAGUUAGCAACCUUAAUCCUACAACAAUGAGGAACCUAAUCCUUAAUGGAAACUAAUUAUUCUCCAGAGUCUUCAGCUUCCUGGGACCCAUGGCUUUCUCUGCAGGAUGCUGAGAGCAAUGCUGAAUGGUAAUAGAUAAAGCUCCCAGUUAGCCUGCCCAUUUCUACCAACCAUGGGAUUCACUCAAGAGAAGCCAAGGACUUUAAAAUGCAUCUACGGGGCUCAAUUUGUUCUUCUUCAGUUCCUUGCUAAUUGUUUUCCACCAACAGCUCUGUGUUCCCAGGAAACAUAACAUUCCAGAAGGCACAUCUGCCGUUACUAUAACAACAGAAAGGCAGCGUCUACGGAGAAUUAUCUGCACUAGAGGGCAGACUGCAAACCAGCAGGAUUCCUGGGUUCCUCUUCCAGGAGGCAAGGGUAAAUUUUGGUGAAAAGAAGCAAAGCCUGAACAGGGUUUUGGUGUAUGGAUGGGGCAUAGAGUGCUCAGAAUUUGAGGAAGGUGAAGGGCAGCCCAAGGUUUAUAAACUGUUUCUAGACCAAAGGUGCAAAACUGCUGUCAAGGAAAUCAGCUAGCAAGGAUUUAGGAAAACAUCUUAUUGUUGGGGUACAGGCACAGAGUUAAGAACUGGUUGGGGUAAUACUAGACAGAUGAAAGAAUCACUUUCCAGCUGUUUGACCCAAAGACAAAUCACAUCGCCUCCCAAGGGAGGUGAAGUCACUUACCCAGAGGAACAACAUCCACUACGAUCGCCCUAAGAGAUACUGAGAAUAGUCUUGAGCAUGGCUAUCAAGGCAAGUCCUGAGAUGCUUGCUAAAGAGUUGAACAUAGACAUGAAUCUCAGUCAGUCUGUCUGAGACUUUGCCUCUUUCCUUGCCUUGGCUUUUACUUUACUAGCUUCUUCUCAGGUUCUGGAUCUCUUUAGGCUUCUUUUCCAACCUCGCUACUAGACUGAUCUAUAUUUGGGAGUCCACCUCAGCCUGUCUGCCAUUCCAAAAAAAAAAAAAAAAACCCUAUUCAUGUCACUAAUCCCACUCUGCAUUCCUAGUCUCUCAGUUUCAAUUUCUCCUUACCUAACCUCUGGCUUUGCUUCAACAUAGAGUUUUCAGACCAUCCUGGAUUAAACUUUGCCCCUUUUAUGGUCAAAAUGGCUUAAUUAGCCAAUUAAGUUACCAUUCAGAGGAAGAGAUUAAUACUAGCAUAAAAUAAAUAAGCAGACAUAAAUUAAUUUCUAUAAAUGGUUUGAAGGAAAUAAACUAAAGUGUAGGAAAAACAGAGUGAGCCUUCCUUUUGUAGGUGGUCAAGAAAGACAUCUCUAAGGGAGGUGAUAUUUAAGUUGAGACCCAAGAAGAGAAGGAGUAGUUGGCUGUAUGAAUAGCAUGUGCAAAGCCCUGCAGCAUGAAAGAGGUUGUGGUUGUAGAACAAAAAGACUGCUGGGAUGAGGCAUCUCAGUAGCAAGCCGAGGAUAAGAGGGUCUUGAGAUGAGAGUGGGUACAGACCAGAUCAUGGAGACAUUUACAAGUCACGGUUAAACAGUUUGGAUUUCAUUCCAAGUUUCUUAAAUGGCAUAUUGUCACAAGACCAAAAGAGACCUUUGGGACUCAUUCCAUCUGUCAGGUAGGAGGUAAUUCUUUUUCUUUUUAUCCAUGCACCAACUUCUGUAAGUAAACUUGACUAAUGUUUGUUUAUAAUCAGUGAGUAAGCUGCUACUUUAAUACCGCUACCCUGGAAGAGGCCCUUCAAGGCAUGUUAAAUUAACUGAUGUGAAUAAAAACAAUGAAUAAAAAUACCUCUCUCCUUUAAUGAGAACAGCGACUUCUGUUUCCCUGAGCUUUUUCAGUCCCAUAAGACCUUUUAAAACAGAGUGAGCAUGUUCAGGUUCAAAUGCUAAAAACAUAAUCUUGUCUCUCUCUUGUUGGAUUAUGUUUCGAGAAGCCAUUUUAGAUCAAUCUUUUUGAGCACACAAGCUUCAGAAGCUGUGACUAAAACAUACCCAGCACUGCUGCUAGGUUGGUCAUUUUUCCCUAAGGCUGUUCUCACACAGAACCAAAGGGAUGUGCCCCUUCAUCUGAUACAUGGACCCUCCAGCUCAGGGACUGAUGAAAAAGAAGCCCCAAAGUUUGUGUUCUAUAAGGGCCUGCUUAUCCACUCAAAUCUCGUGUAAAAGGUUGGGUAAGAGUCUAUGUGCUUCUCUAAUUUGCCAUUCCUACGGGAGUUACAAAAAGUUUACAGAGGCACUUUUGGGAUCUAUUCAUAUGUUCUGCAUAUACUAUCUCGUAGGGAUUAGAUUCCAUGUUUAUCACACACUCUACAAAGAGACAAUGUUGUGUAAUGAAAAUUAGAUUUUAUUCCAAUUGUGUAAUUCAUUUGUUUUAUGGCCAAGUAAAAGUUAUUUUCUUUCCAAGCAUUUUUGUUUGUUUGUUUGUUUGUUUGUUUGUUUGCAAGAUGACCUCUAGGGCUCCUUCCAGUUCUAUGACUUUGUGAAUCUCUAUCAACAUGGACUCAAGAACAAUGCUGGUAUUAGCUAUGGUAAGCUAAACUGCUGUUACAAGUAGACUUCAAAGUGCAAAGGCCCAAACAAAAUAGAAAUCUUUUUUUUUCACCCAAUGGCUCAGGACAGGUGUUCUAGAUCAGCUGACAGCUCUGCUCCACAAUUCAAUUCAGAGAACUGGUCUAAAGAUACUUGGCCUUCAAAGUCACUCUAAUAAUAGCCCUUCCAGUCAGUCCAUCAGAAAGAAGACAAGCUGAAGUCCUGGGUAAGAGAUAUCUCACAAGGUAAAUGAAAUUAAAUUAUUCCUCUGGCAAGAGCCUAAACACAAGGUCACAUCUAGCUGCAAGAGAGGCCACAAAAUAUAGUCCCAGUCUGGAUCCAGACAGAACUCCAUUACUAGGGAAGAAGAUGAGAGAGAAUUGGGGUGGACAUAGAGCAGCCUCUGCUACGUGCCUAAUUCCUAUAUUAGGUUUCAGACUAUUAAACUUUUCAAUUACUGAAUUAUCAUCACAGUUCUAAGAGACAAUUACUACAAUGUUCAUUCUACAGAUGUGAAAACUAUGUCCCAAAGAGCUGAAGUAAAACACAUGAAGUCUCACAGUUAAAAGCUGAGCUAAGCUUCAAUUUCAGGUCUGCUGGUCAGUGCUUUCUCUACCAUAAGUACUAAAUUGAAAUAUUUGCAUAGCAAAUAAUCAUUAGCAUAAAUCUGCAUGAAUAAAAAGAACAACAAGGCAUUAUUGUGAAAGGUAAGAGGAACAGCUAAAGCAUGCAGCAGAUCUAGGACUGACUCCAAGUGUUAAGAGGUCUCCAAACUGAAAGAUGG